GCAAUUUGCAUAUGGAAUCUACUCUGCUUUGAGGAUUUACUAACUGUCUAUUCGUUGAGAGGAAAUCCAGCAAAGACACAACCAACGCAACUUCAAUUGGACAUCAAGACGUUGGUAAACAGAAUGCGAUAGGAACUAUGGGCAAUGGAGUCAGGCAUUCUGUCGAAAAGGUUGUGAGCAUGUGGUGUAAACUGUGGAGUACUAUUAACAACAGAAUGGCAUAAGUAAUACAGAACAGAUACACAGAGUGGAAUAUCCAUGCCUACAAGCAAUUCUUACCACUUUAAUUGGAAAAGAAACAACCUGGCGGUGAUGAGAUGAUGACACGCACGGCAAUCAUGAGGCGGCCGUUGCUAUGGUUCACGUUCCAAUGCCCCGACUUCAUCUCCACGGAACGCCCCCAAGCUCAUUGGUCCCUCUGUUUUCAUAUGAACAACAUCAGAAUUGACACAAGACAGAACAGAAAUCAAAAGACAAAUCCGAAAGCAAUCGAAAUCAAUUCUAAAAUUAAUCGGAGACGAAGCGACCUGGCGGGUGUGGCUCUCAGUUGAUGGAUUUCGUCAUCGCCGGAGCGUCGUGGAGCAGGAUAUACGGCGGCGGAGCUGAAGACGCAGCGGAGGAUCGGGAUAAAGUCGCCGGAGUCAUCGCUUCCCCAGUGGAAUCGCAAUCGAAGGAGAGAAUAGAGUCGCGGGCGAUUAAGAAGAGCAGCGACGACGACGACGAUGGAAGGUGCGUAGCGACCAUGGAACCGCGAGCCAACAUCAAACCGCCGGAGAAACUGGUGCAUGGAGACGUCAGGACACUUGAAUCGGCGGCGACGAUUCCCCUCCGGCGAACCUCGAAACGAAGGAAAAUGGAGCUUCCGGCGAGAGCCCUGACGAAGGAUUUGAGAGUUCUCCAUCUCAGAGCAAGGAUCUACAUUCUCGGUCGCUAUGGAGCGCGGGUUCUUAAUAAAAUAUAUUUUAGCGGGAUUUCUUGGUACAUAAUAGCAUUUCUAUUCUAAAAUGUAAAAAAUGGAUGCGUGUCCUUGAUCUUCUAGUCCAACUUCCCCGAUUCCCACUAUUUCUCGAA